ACUCAUACCUUGCAGGGGAAAUACCAUGGUCAUGAAAGUGGUUUUCCCAGGGUGAGGCUCAUCCAUUGCACUUCAGGUGUGCUGAUCCCUAUGAUUUCCUCAAAUGUGGGGAACUCAACUGCAUAAUUUGUGUUAAUGGGGGAUUACAUUUGUGAUUUCCCA
rnacentral:snRNA from 1 species